rnacentral:rRNA from 1 species
ACAUACGACCAUAUCCACUGGAAAGUACGGGAUCCCGUCCGCUCUCCCUUAGUCAAACCAGUGAGGGCCGAGCUAGUAGUUGGGCCGGUGACGACCAGCGAAUCUUCAGCGUUGUAUGUU